GUGAAAUAAAGAAGAACAAAGAUUUAGAGAAACGCUUGGGAAAGUUGUUGACCGCUUUUUUCCCCAUUUUAUUUUAUGGACUCACUUACCCUCCAAUUCUAUUACUCCCUGCACCGUUUUUUCCCGCAUUUUUCUCUCUCUCUCUCUCUCUCUCUCUCUCUCCGUGUAAAUCCGACCAUUAAUACACACGCCUUUCUCAGACACACACAAAAGGCGCAGAAAGAAAGAAAUCCUCUAAAUUCAAAAUUAAAACCCUCAAUGGGCAAACGAGGCCGUAAGCCCAAAACCCCCAUCCCGGAAACCCUAGAUUCACCAACCACCACCGUCGCUUCCCCGCCACCACCGCCGAUAACAACCGCCGCAACGGGAUUGGACGACGCCGUCUUCUCCGUCAGCAACGUCGAGAUAAUCGAGCAGCCUCAAGCCUCUCACCCCCACCAAGAGGGUCGCCGCCGCGGCCGACCCAAGAAGCUCCGCAAGCUCACUGACAAUCCCGAGAUCAUGACCCCUUCCCGAAGAGUCCCUCGGGCAGUCGACAAUGGCGAGCACAAGGGUUCCGUGGGACCCGCUGUGGCGGUUUCGGAUCCCUGCGCCGCUUGGGAGGGCGUGGCGAGGGCGGUGCCGGCCAUGGAUGCGGUGGUGAAGGUGUUUUGUGUGCACACGGAGCCGAAUUUCUCGCUUCCGUGGCAGAGGAAGAGGCAGUAUAGCUCUAGCAGUAGUGGGUUUGUGAUUGGUGGUAGGAGGGUGCUGACCAAUGCGCAUUCCGUGGAGCAUUAUACCCAGGUCAAGCUGAAGAAGCGUGGCUCUGAUACCAAGUACUUGGCCACUGUUCUCGCAAUUGGCACCGAGUGCGACAUUGCCAUGCUUACUGUUGAUGACGACGAGUUUUGGGAUGGAGUGUCGCCAGUGGAAUUUGGGGAUUUGCCUGCGCUUCAAGAUUCUGUGACUGUUGUGGGUUACCCGAUUGGUGGAGACACAAUUUCAGUGACAAGUGGUGUUGUAUCACGAAUAGAGAUUCUAUCCUAUGUUCAUGGGUCAACGGAACUUCUAGGUUUGCAGAUAGAUGCUGCCAUAAACUCCGGAAACUCAGGUGGGCCUGCUUUUAAUGAUAGGGGAAAUUGUGUGGGUAUUGCAUUUCAGUCCCUUAAACAUGAAGAUGCGGAGAAUAUUGGUUAUGUCAUACCCACACCAGUCAUUAUGCACUUUAUCCAAGAUUAUGAGAAGAAUGGAGCAUAUACGGGAUUUCCUAUUCUCGGGGUUGAGUGGCAGAAGAUGGAAAAUCCUGACUUGCGUAUGUCAAUGGGCAUGAAACCUGAUCAGAAGGGUGUUCGCAUUAGAAGAAUUGAUCCCACUGCUCCAGAAUCUCAGGUUCUGAAGCCAUCUGAUAUUAUUCUCAGCUUUGAUGGAGUUAAUAUUGCCAACGAUGGAACAGUUCCUUUUCGGCAUGGAGAGCGCAUAGGUUUUAGUUACCUCAUCUCCCAGAAAUAUACCGGAGACAAUUCAGUGGUUAAAGUUCUGCGUAAUUCUGAGAUUCUCAGUUUUGACAUCAAACUUGCAUCCCACAAAAGGCUAAUUCCAGCACACAACAAGGGCAGACCUCCUUCAUAUUAUAUUAUUGCAGGAUUUGUUUUUACAGCUGUGUCUGUUCCCUAUCUUCGGUCUGAGUAUGGAAAGGAUUAUGAAUUUGAAGCCCCUGUCAAGCUUUUGGACAAAAUGCUGCAUUCAUUGCCACAAUCACCAGAUGAGCAGCUUGUCGUUGUUUCUCAGGUUCUCUCUCUCUCUCUCUCUCUCUCUCUCUCUCUCUCUCUCUCUCUCUCUCAGUUAUUUCUUUCUUGGAAGGGUUGCGUUGACCCUGUGCAGACUUUUUCACGUCAAUUUGGGAUGUUUCUUUCAGGUUCUUGUGGCUGAUAUCAACAUUGGUUACAAAUACUGCUAAAGCAGCAACUCUAGACAUUCUUGCUACACAUUGCAUACCCUCAGCAAUGUCUGAUGAUCUGAAGACUUGAGGUUGGCCUGGACGCAGGCGCAUUACGUAUUCAAUUUUGUAGCCCGCCUUCUGCAGUGUCUCAAAUAGAAAUUGUAAGACUCUGGAGGGUAAUAGCUAUGUUUUCAUAGUUUAGAUAUUUGUUUACUGGGGAGGCGUCAGGAGUAGUUGUAGACCCUCUCAGAAAAAUUCGGUAGUUUUUCAGGUGCCUCAUUGAGGAUUGUUGCUUUCUCUCUUCUUUCGAGGGAUGGAUGUAAGCAUGAAAACAUUAAAUUGAGCGACGAUGAUCCUCAAAUUUUGUUUCUUUAUACAAGUUUUCUGAACGUUGAAA